rnacentral:rRNA from 1 species
UACAGAGGUCUCGAGCGUUAGGCGGAAUCACUGGGCUUAAAGCGUGUGUAGGCGGCGGGCUAAGUACCUUGUGAAAUCCCACGGCUUAACUGUGGAACUGCUGGGUAUACUGGUUCGCUUGAGCGGUCUAGGGGCGAGCGGAACAAAUGGUGGAGCGGUGAAAUGCGUAGAUAUCAUUUGGAACGCCAACGGUGAAAAACAGCUCGCUGGGGACCUGCUGACGCUGAGACACGGAAAAGCCCAGGGGGAGCGAACGGG